UACGUAUGGUGCAAGCGUUAUCCGGAUUUACUGGGUGUAAAGGGAGCGUAGGUGGCAUGGUAAGCCAGAAGUGAAAACCCGGGGCUCAACCCCGCGGAUUGCUUUUGGAACUAUCAGGCUGGAGUGCUGGAGGGGUAAGCGGAAUUCCUAGUGUAGCGGUGAAAUGCGUAGAUAUUAGGAGGAACACCGGUGGCGAAGGCGGCUUACUGGACAGAAACUGACACUGAGGCUCGAAAGCGUGGGGAGCAAACAGG
rnacentral:rRNA from 1 species